ACUAUUAUUUUGAACACAGCUGUAUAUACAUAUCGAACCGCAACUCUGCGCCUGUGCAUCCCUAGUUGACCACCCGGCUCCUCGCUCGAUACCGCUAGAUGGCGCUGCUGUGAAUUAAACGAUUGCCGCCCUUCUCCGGUGCUGUCACGUCGAAUUUCUUCUUUCGUGACCGGUCCGAUGCAACAAACUGUGUAUUAAUUAAACAAACUUGGCAAAAAUUGUGUGUCGCCGAUUGGGCAAGUCUGUUACCGAAAAUGUGAAUGGUCAUAAACUGUCAUUUGAAUAUACAAUACGGACCGGGGAAACAAUAUGGGAAAACAUAGGUCGCCACAACUGGACGUAAUUUAUGGAAGCACACCCCGACGUUGCGAAAAAUUCCAAAUGUUAUAAAAACUUUUUCAAAUAAAUGUAAUUUGUAAUAAGCAAAA